rnacentral:rRNA from 1 species
AGUGAACGCUGGCGGCAGGCCUAACACAUGCAAGUCGAGCGGAGCGGCGGACGGGUGAGUAAUGCCUAGGAAUCUGCCAGGUAGUGGGGGCUACCGUCCGGAAACGGGAGCUAAUACCGCAUAAUAUCAGAUGAGCCUAGGACGGAUUAGCUAGUUGGUGGGGUAAAGGCCUAGAAAGGCGACGAUCCGUAACUGGUCUGGGAGGAUGAUCAGUAACACUAGAACUUAGAAACAGUGCAGACUACUUAGGUAGGCAGCCGUAGGGAAUAUUGGACAAUGGACGAACGCCCUAUCUAGCCAUGCUGCGUGUGUGAUGAAGGUCUACGGAUUGUAAAGCACUUGAAGUUGGGGGGCGUUACAAACAGAAUAAGCACCGGCUAAGUUCGUGCCGGCAGCCGCGGUAAUAA